UGAAUAUAAGGAAAUAAAACUAAAUUGUACAAAAUAGACAAUUGUUUUACUAGCACCUCUCUUUUUAACCAAGGUAGAUUCACAGCUAACUGAAAUAUACCAUUAUGGCCUUUAAUACCGACUAUUUGUCCAUGAGCUCGUUGAGGAUGGGGAAUAAAUUAUGUUUGUAGCAACAUCCCCAUCUAUCGAAAUGUCUGGAACCAAGCAGAUCUUGGGUACCCACAAUGAUUGCCAUUUCGUGUCUAUCCAUUUAGAUUCCUGCCCCCCAACCCCCGCCCUGACACCCACCUCCACCAACCUCGCUGGGAAACCCUUCCAGACCUCAGUUUAGAUGAGACCAAAAUAAUAAUGUUGUUAGUGUGUUUUAAAGUCAUGUUUUUAAUAAUAACACAAAAGAUUAGACAAGUUAAUUUAAAGAUGAUAAAAGAAAAAAAGCAUAACGAUUCUCUUUCUCAUUUGAUUCCAUUUCUCCUCCACAAAAGAGAAAGAUACUCCGACUAUGAAGGAUAGAACACAAAUCCUAGUAGGGGAGAUAGUAAGAGAGUGUCUAACAGCUUUAAAAUGUGUUCAAGUCCAGAUGCAUUAUAUCUAAGACAAUUAAAACAAUUUGCAGCUGUUAUUGCAGCUGCUCGUGUCCUGGGAAAAAAAAAAAAAAAUCAGAGGGAAUGGGAAAAUUGCCAGAAGAUCAGAGCUAAGUAAAUGCCUUAGAUUUCAAAAAGAGGGAUUUCAUAAUCUAAAGCCAGAUGAGUUUGACUUUCAUACCCAGCAACAUUUUAAAAUGGAUUCUUAACUCAAUUAUGUGUAUGCACUUAAUAGGGAAAGAGGCAAUCACCAAAGGCCAGCAUAAAGUAGCCAAAAAUAAUUCAUGACAAAUUAUUUUUAUGCACUUACUAUAUUAGAAGGAAAUGGAAAGAAUAUUACAGGCAGAUUUUAUUCAAACACCAGUCAGGAUUGAUUUAAAGAGAGAAAUGUAUUGAGUCCCUGCUAUGUGCUGUUUACCGUAAUAGGCCUUUGGGAUAAAAUGCCGGACGGGACACAGUUGUCGCCUUCAAGGGGAUUUAAGUCUAGUGGGAGAAGUUGAAAAGAACCCAAGUGUAUUUAUCAAGAACUGAGGCAGAGUCUUUUUUAUGGACUGCAAAAAGCUGGGAAGGAGGCAAAGUGUUGUUGAAACAUUAUCAAGAUUCAGAAAGCUCUUGACAGGCUGGAGCAAAGGGCCUCUGCCAGUUACAUGAUGAAACAAUACAAGCUGCUGUGUUUCAAAAAAAUAAAGAAUCUUUAAAAUUGUCCAAUUGCUUUUUUGGUAAACACAGGUGAA